rnacentral:lncRNA from 1 species
UUAAUUGAGAGCUCUUUCUAGAUUCUAUGGGUGGUGGUGCAUGGCCUUUCUUAGUUGGUGGAAUGAUUUGUCUAGUUAAUUUUGUUAACGAAUGAGACUUCAGCCUACAAACUAGCUAUGCGGAGGUACCCCUCCGUGGCCAGCUUUUUAGAGGGACUACCUCCUUUUAGGCCAUGAAAGUUUGAGGCAAUAAUAGGUCUGUGAUGCCCUUAGAUGUUCUGGGCCACACACGUGCUACACUGAUGUAUUCAACAAGUUUAUAGCCUUGGCCGACAUGUUCGGGUAAUCUUUGAAAUUUCAUUGGGAUGGGGAUAGAUCAUUGCAAUUGUUGGUCUUCAAUGAGGAAUUCCUAGUAAACGUGAGUCAUCAGCUCACGUUGACUAUGUCCCUGCCUUUGUACACAGCACCCGUCGCUCCUACCAAUUGAAUGGUCUAGUGAAGUGUUCAGAUCGCGGUGAUGUGGGCGGUCUACUGCCCAUGACGUCACGAGAAGUCCACUGAACCUUAUCAUUUAGAGGAAGGAAAAGUCGUAACAAGGUUUUCGUAGGUGAACUUGUGGAAG